rnacentral:rRNA from 1 species
UACGGAGGGUGCAAGCGUUGCUCGGAAUCAUUGGGCGUAAAGCGUACGCAGGCGGCUCCUUGAGUCGGGUGUGAAAGCCCAGGGCUCAACCCUGGAACUGCGCCCGAAACUGAGGAGCUUGAGUGCGGGAGAGGUGAGUGGAAUUCCUAGUGUAGAGGUGAAAUUCGUAGAUAUUAGGAAGAACACCAGUGGCGAAGGCGGCUCACUGGCUCGGUACUGACGCUGAGGCGCGAAAGCGUGGGGAGCAAACAGG